rnacentral:tRNA from 1 species
CAGUAGCUAUCAAGACUCAGUAGCUGAGUGGAUAACGCGAUGGCGUUUGAAGCGAAAGGUACUGGGUUCGAGUACCAGAGUGAA